rnacentral:sRNA from 1 species
AUCAUUCAUCAAAAGAUCGUGAAUCGAAUGCAGUUGUGAAUCGUAAGCAGAUGUACGAUAUAUAUAGACAGUUGUGCAUCGUUAAGUGUCUGCGUGCCUUCCCCAUCUAAAUUUUUUAUGGAAAAGAGAGAGAUGAGGAGUCCAUUGAAGGAAAAUGUUCUGGUAAAGAGGGUCCGAACCAAUCAAACAGAUGAUCUGCUCUUAGUGCCCAUCAGACGGGUAACGCCUGUCAAGCUUGUUCCAAUUCAGCCUGCUCCUCAGAUGGUGGAUACAAGCUCCAGCUCUGUAAUUACAAGCAAAGCACGUCGUUCUCUCGGGGGUGACUUUAGCAAAAAGGUAUAUGUGCAUUACCCAAGUGGAAAGAAAACAGCCCUGAUUACUUCGGAAGUUCACAGAAGCAUUUGCCGAACAAUAAUGGGAGGAAACAAUGUUGAAAGGACCAUUGUUAACAACCUUUGCUCAUCUCACCCUGAGGAGGUUACAAAUGGGGCAGCGAAAAUGAUCAAGAAAGAGGCACUUGCUCUUUGUAAAAGGGGAUCGGGGUCCAUUCUCCAGAGUAAAGACUUUAAAGAUUUUUUGGAAUUUAAGUGGCAGCAAAUGAAGGAAGAACUCCAAAGAAGAUGCCCUACAAUUCUUUCUUUACUAUCAGCUGUAGUAAGUGACCAGGAGCUCUCCAGUGAUAGCAAAUCAGUCAUCCAUGUUAUGGUAUCUGCUGCCAUUGCAUUGCAUGGGAGAAACCAGGAAAUGUCCCUUUUCCAGUACAUGAUUGCCUUUGUGUUAACUCAUGGUGGAUGUAUUCAAAGGGAUAUUGAACGACUGUCAAAUAUUGGAUUAUGUGUACAUCCGAAGACCAUUCAUAGAAAAUUAGAAACUUGGAAGGAACUAGUAAAUUUGAAAGUGAAAGAAAUGAGGGAUUCCUGUGCUGAUAGUGGAAAUGUGAAAUAUCAUUUAGUCGGGGACAAUUGGGACAAGAGCAUUUUGCCAUCUUACAGGACUUCAGAACGAGGAACACUGUCACUGCAUCUCUUCAACGUCAUUGCGGUUCAAGAUAGAGUUCCACCCUUACCGGAUCUCCAAAGAAUAGAGGAAAGAGAUGCCAAACAAAUCUGUGAAUUUAUACCGUCUGUUGCUGAGCAAAAACAAUUGAUGAGAGAAUUGGUGUUCAUAUUUGCAACUUCCAUUAUUGAGCACAAUCCUAAACUUCAAAGGGUGUACAGCUCUAUUUAUCCAAAGCAUUUGGACCACCCUUACAGUCAUUUCUCUGGGCUAAAAACAUUCCAAUACCCUCUUGGACUGUUUGACUGUAAUGAAAACAAGACCCAAGAACUCAUUGCUCUUUUGAAGAAACUUUCCAAUGACUUCAUACCAUACAAGAAUGGAAACAUUGUUGAGCCUGUGUUUUUUGGAGGGGACAGAUUAACAGACGAGAGAGUUCAAUCAGCUCAAAAAGCAAUAAAGAAUGCAGUAACAGCAAGAGAAAAAUUAGAAGGGUUUAUUUCCAAAAUAGAAGAUUUUCAUAGGCUGAUGAAUUUCUUAGAGGCAAUAGCCAAGCUGACUUUCAGCACAGAGAGUGGACAAGAUCCUGGGACUCUUUAUUUCUACAGAAAUCUGUUGAACCAUAGAGGUUUUAAAUAAAAAAAUACAUUUUUACAGAGUUUGGUAAGGGACUGUAUUUUUUGGCAUUUUGGGUCAUCUCUAGUCUGAAAAUUCUGCAUCUGUAUUAAUUCUAGUAGUAUAUUUUUAUUUUACAAUGUCAAAUAAACUAUAUUGAAUAAAAUUGUUUUGAAUAAAAAGAAUACAUUGUUACAGAGUUUAGUAAGGGACUAUAUUUUGUGGCGGGAGGCUUUCAAGAAGCAAAUGAACAAUGUUCAUAACUCACUAGUUUUAGAGUACUGUUACUUUAGCUUCCAAAUUUUCAGCGUAGACAAACUUCUAGAUAGUUUGUGUAUUACAAUAAAUUCAUGAUGUUCUAAAAAAUAUAUUUAAACAGUAUUUUGAUAUUUCUAUUGAUAUAUUUUGGCAUAUUUAGCUUAUAUUUCAUAGAAGUUAAGAAAAAAAUAACUCCAAUUUUGGCCUAAAAUUCUCUUAUUUCAUGCUAUAUCUCAAAUUUUUGAGAUGUGAUCCGUACUUCUUUGACUUUUAAAUUAAAUGAGACAUUAAAUGUAUAUCUAUUUGUGUGCAAAGUUUUGGAAAGAUGGCAUUACUAUAUUUUUAUUUAUUUGCGUUAUAAUUGGAUUACUCUAACAUUUUGUAACAUCUGUUGUUGUGUUUAUUAUGUACUGGCCUUUGAAGCCACCAAUAAAGCAAGAAUUUUU